UACGUAGGGUGCGAGCGUUAAUCGGAAUUACUGGGCGUAAAGCGCAUGUAGGCGGAUCCAUAAGUCGGGCGUGAAAUCCCCAGGCUCAACCUGGGAACUGCGUUCGAAACUGUGGGUCUAGAGUGUCGGAGAGGAUGGCGGAAUUCCUGGUGUAGAGGUGAAAUUCGUAGAUAUCAGGAGGAACACCGGUGGCGAAGGCGGCCAUCUGGACGACAACUGACGCUGAGAUGCGAAAGCGUGGGGAGCAAACAGG
rnacentral:rRNA from 1 species